rnacentral:rRNA from 1 species
AUACGUAGGUGACAAGCGUUAUCCGGAUUUACUGGGCGUAAAGGGCGUGUAGGCGGUCUUGCAAGUCAGAAGUGAAAUUCCUGAGCUCAACUCGGGCGCUGCUUCUGAAACUGCAGGACUUGAGUGUUGGAGGGGGUAGCGGAAUUCCUAGUGGAGCGGUAAAAUGCACAGAUAUUAGGAAGAACACCGGUGGCGAAGGCGGCAAUCUGGACAUGAACUGCCGCUGAGGCGCGAAAGCGUGGCGAGCAAACAGGAUGAGAUACCCUGGUAGACCACGCCGUAAACGAUGAAUACUAGGUGUAGGGGGUAUCGACUCCCUCUGUGCCCCAGUUAACACAAUAAGUAUUCCGCCUGGGGAGUACGGCCGCAAGGUUGAAACUCAAAGGAAUUGACGGGG